GCUUCGGUGACCUAGGGGUUAGAGCAUCCGCCUCGGAUGCAGGAGGUUGUGGGUUCGAUCCCCGGUCGAGUCA